AAUUAAUAUAGAGUACACAACUUUUUAAGAAACUGUAGUAAUAAAUGGUUGAAAAGUGAAAAAGUAACGAAGAAGUACUGAAAAUAAAAUGAAAGAGUAAAGAAAUGUUGUCAUUGGCUAAUCCUAAAAGACAUGGAUAGCUACUUGUCACCGUUGAUAACUUCAAUCCAACGGUUCAGAUCCGUUCCUUCUUUUUCUCCUCACCACACCCUGUGUUUCUUUUAGGCUCUCUCUUAUCUCUUCCCUAAAUCUAUAGGGUCGAUUUCUCUUUAUUCUCCAUCUUCUGCGUUUGUGUCUAUUCUUUUUUUGCUUAAGCUUUGAAAACUAAACGCGUUUGCGUUUUUCCUCUGCAACCUUCUCUCUCCGGCGUUUCUUUAGCUGUCGACCCUUUCUUCUCAUUCUACUUCAAAGUCUCGGCGUUCCUCAACAGGUGAAGCCGUUAAUGAGCAGUUUCCAGAUCCAAUCCUCAAUGCUACGACCAACUACAAUGUUGUUGUUAAAGUUUCCAAUCAUUCGGAUGAGCCUCUUCUCUUGACUUGGUGAGACUUUAUAACAUAGUUCUCUAAAGGUGUUUGAUUCUCAUUAGUAUAGUGUGCUUCUUGUGUUGCUCAAAAGACUAGUGUUCUCGAAAGCUUUUUUUGUUUGUUUCAGAAAGUAUGUGCGGUGGGGGAAAUGUUGAAUGUGUGGAGAUCCCAAAAAAUGCCGGUGCCAGAGCCAGUGCCGCAGCUGGGAACAGUGACGGAGCCAGAAACAGUGCCAGAGCCUGAGCCAGCAACGGUGGCUCUGCGUAGGGCGAUUGUGUAUAAUAUAUGUAUUCAAUUAUUUUUUUAAUUAAUUAAUAAAAACAUUUUUUUUUGGAUU